ACUCAUCAGGAGCCAAGGAAGACCACUCAUGGUCAUUUGUUUUAUUAUUUUUUCUUCUGUUGACUGUUGAUGUGGUUCCUAGAGUUCUCAGUUCUUCAACUGUUCUUGCCAAAAGUCUAAUAGUCAUGAGCAUGUUACUUUUCUUCAGCUGAUGCAGUAAAAAGAUUGAAAUCAGUAAAAGGCUUUCCUUUCUUUAUACCAAUUCAGUCCUUUACUUUGACAGCUUGAUUUUCAUAAAUUAAUUCUGCUGUGGUGAGUUAUCUUGUUUUAAAUUUUCUAAUUUUUCUGACCACUACAUUCCUAUAAAUUAAAGAUUUUGUAAUGAGUGUUUAGCUUGGUAAUUUUAACACAUUCUUUGAGAGCAACUAUUUCAUCAUUGCAUGUUAAAUACCAUGCAUUGCCAUCAAAUUUUAUAACAAAAUAAUCUUCGUUCUAUUAUGCCUUAAAUGUAUUAUCACUUGAAGUUUACUUUUGUUUUGACAUUAUAGGCAGACAUUGUUAAUAAAGGAUAUGUGUGUGUGUGUGUGUGUGUGUGUAAACAAAUUUCAGCAUCUCAUUACCUUACUUUCAAAACUAGUUUGUUUCAGGAUACUGCUUUAAUAUAAUGGAAGGUUUGGGUAUGUACGUGUGUGUGUGUGUACACAAUUUGUGGUAUUCAAUAUACUGAUAGUAUAAUUUUUAGUGUACCAAGCAGCAGUGCAGAAUGCUGAGAGUAUCACAUGAGUCUCAACU
rnacentral:lncRNA from 1 species